rnacentral:rRNA from 1 species
GACGAACGCUGGCGGCGUGCUUAACACAUGCAAGUCGAACGCUGAACCCGCUUCGGUGGGGGAUGAGUGGCGAACGGGUGAGUAGCACGUGGGCAACCUGCCCCCGGCUCUUGGAUAACUCCAAGAAAUUGGGGCUAAUACCGGAUGUGACCGCUGGCCGCAUGGUCUGGUGGUGGAAAGGGUUUCCGGCUGGGGAUGGGCCCGCGGCCUAUCAGCUUGUUGGUGGGGUAGUGGCCUACCAAGGCGACGACGGGUAGCCGGCCUGAGAGGGUGACCGGCCACACUGGGCCUGAGACACGGCCCAGACUCCUACGGGAGGCAGCAGUGGGGAAUAUUGCGCAAUGGGCGGAAGCCUGACGCAGCGACGCCGCGUGGGGGAUGACGGCCUUCGGGUUGUAAACCUCUUUCAGCAGGGACGAAGCGAAAGUGACGGUACCUGCAGAAGAAGCACCGGCCAACUACGUG